GUGAGCGAGAAGAGUAGUGGCAGUUGGCAUGUCGCGCUGUAUCUGGACAGGCGAGAGAGAGCUUUCGCAACGGCGGCGGAUGUCACAGUCAUGUCUGCAGAGUGGGUGUCACAAGAAGUGGGGAGAGACACAUCGGACACCCGACAUCCACUCCCCUCUCGCUCAGCGGAGCUUUCGUUGGACUCUCUCUCCUCCGAGUGACAAAACAGUGAAAAGUCCCAUAGGAGACAACGCCGCACAACACAGAGACACAGAGCACAGCGACUGCGGCUGUGUGUUGGGCACGAGAGCGGGAGAGAACGACACACGACGGAUACAGAGUGGGACGUCACCAAUUGGAGACAUCUCUUGGUGUGAUACUCAAGUUUGGUGCGACGACGUGAGACAAGCGAUAGCCAUUGUGUGACUGUAAAACAGGGAUGGCAUAUCGAUAAAUCCCCACCAAAUUUUUAUCCGGGCACUGCUUCUCAUGGCAACUUCUUCCGCUUUUUGCCGCCAAUACUGGACGAUGGACAGUUUGAGUGUAGGCUCGAAAUUAAAUCUAUUAAGUGUUUAGUUAUGGACGAUAAAAAGACGAG